rnacentral:misc_RNA from 1 species
UCCUGGUUAACCCAGGCAGUCUCGUUAGAGUCCCCACCUAAAAUGUUGGCAACUAACGAUAAGGGUUGCGCUCGUUGCGGGACUUAACCCAAUACCUCACGGCACGAGCUGACGACAGCCAUGCAGCACCUGUGCUGCGGUCCCGAAGGAAGAUUCUGUUUCCAGAACUGUCCACAGCAUGUCAAGCCUGGGUAAGGUUCUUCGCGUUGCAUCGAAUUAAACCACAUGCUCCACUGCUUGUGCGGGUCCCCGUCAAUUCUUUUGAGUUUCACCCUUGCGAGCGUACUCCCCAGGCGGUAUACUUAACGCGUUAGCUACGGCACAGUUGGGGUUGAAUCCAACUACACCAAGUAUACAUCGUUUACGGCAAGGACUAC